UACGAAGGGGGGCUAGCGUUGCUCGGAAUCACUGGGCGUAAAGCGCACGUAGGCGGCUUUCUAAGUCAGGGGUGAAAUCCUGGAGCUCAACUCCAGAACUGCCUUUGAUACUGGAGAGCUUGAGUCCGGGAGAGGUGAGUGGAAUUCCUGGUGUAGCGGUGAAAUGCGCAGAUAUCAGGAGGAACACCAAUAGCGAAGGCAGCUCGCUGGGACGGUACUGACGCUGAGACGCGAAAAGCGUGGGGGAGCAAACAGG
rnacentral:rRNA from 1 species